rnacentral:rRNA from 1 species
GACGAACGCUGGCGGCGUGCUUAACACAUGCAAGUCGAACGGAAAGGCCCUGCUUUUGUGGGGUGCUCGAGUGGCGAACGGGUGAGUAACACGUGAGUAACCUGCCCUUGACUUUGGGAUAACUUCAGGAAACUGGGGCUAAUACCCGAUAGGAGCUCCUGCUGCAUGGUGGGGGUUGGAAAGUUUCGGCGGUUGGGGAUGGACUCGCGGCUUAUCAGCUUGUUGGUGGGGUAGUGGCUUACCAAGGCUUUGACGGGUAGCCGGCCUGAGAGGGUGACCGGCCACAUUGGAACUGAGAUACGGCCCAGACUCCUACGGGAGGCAGCAGUGGGGAAUAUUGCACAAUGGGCGGAAGCCUGAUGCAGCAACGCCGCGUGCGGGAUGACGGCCUUCGGGUUGUAAACCGCUUUCGCCUGUGACGAAGCGUGAGUGACGGUAAUGGGUAAAGAAGCACCGGCUAACUACGUG